GAGUUUGAUCGUGGCUCAGAGCGAACGCUGGCGGCAGGCCUAACACAUGCAAGUCGAACGAACUCUUCGGAGUUAGUGGCGGACGGGUGAGUAACACGUGGGAACGUGCCUUUUGGUUCGGAAUAACUCAGGGAAACUUGUGCUAAUACCGAAUGUGCCCUUCGGGGAAGAUUUAUCGCCAUUAGAGCGGCCCGCGUCUGAUUAGCUAGUUGGUGAGGUAAAGGCUCACCAAGGCGACGAUCAGUAGCUGGUCCGAGAGGAUGAUCAGCCACAUUGGGACUGAGACACGGCCCAAACUCCUACGGGAGGCAGCAGUGGGGAAUCUUGCGCAAUGGGCGAAAGCCUGACGCAGCCAUGCCGCGUGAAUGAUGAAGGUCUUAGGAUUGUAAAAUUCUUUCACCGGGGACGAUAAUGACGGUACCCGGAGAAGAAGCCCCGGCUAACUUCGUGCCAGCCGCCGCGGU
rnacentral:rRNA from 1 species